rnacentral:rRNA from 1 species
UACGUAGGGUGCAAGCGUUGUCCGGAUUUAUUGGGCGUAAAGAGCUCGUAGGCGGUCUGUCGCGUCGGAUGUGAAAACCCAGGGCUCAACCCUGGGCCUGCAUUCGAUACGGGCAGACUAGAGUGUGGCAGGGGAGACUGGAAUUCCUGGUGUAGCGGUGAAAUGCGCAGAUAUCAGGAGGAACACCGGUGGCGAAGGCGGGUCUCUGGGCCAAUACUGACGCUGAGGCACGAAGGCCAGGGGAGCAAACGGG